rnacentral:rRNA from 1 species
UCCGUAGGUGAACCUGCGGAGGGAAAAUUACCGAGUUUACAACUCCCAAACCCCUGUGAACCUACCUUACUGUUGCCUCGGCGGAUCAGCCCGCUCCCGGUAAAACGGGACGGCCCGCCAGAGGACCCCUAAACUCUGUUUCUAUAUGUAACUUCUGAGUAAAACCAUAAAUAAAUCAAAACUUUCAACAACGGAUCUCUUGGUUCUGGCAUCGAUGAAGAACGCAGCAAAAUGCGAAAAGUAGUGUGAAUUGCAGAAUUCAGUGAAUCAUCGAAUCUUUGAACGCACAUUGCGCCCCCUGGUAUUCCGGGGGGCAUGCCUGUCCGAGCGUCAUUGCUGCCCUCAAGCACGGCUUGUGUGUUGGGCCCCGUCCUCCGAUCCCGGGGGACGGGCCCGAAAGGCAGCGGCGGCACCGCGUCCGGUCCUCGAGCGGCUUUGUCACCCGCUCUGUAGGCCCGGCCGGCGCUUGCCGAUCAACCCAAAUUUUUAUCCAGGUUGACCUCGGAUCAGGUAGGGAUACCCGCUGAACUUAAGCAUAUCAAUAAGCGGAGGAA